CCUGGCGGCACUAGCGCGGUGGUCCCACCUGACCCCAUGCCGAACUCAGAAGUGAAACGCCGUAGCGCCGAUGGUAGUGUGGGGUCUCCCCAUGUGAGAGUAGGGAACUG
rnacentral:rRNA from 5 species